CCUGCGUGGGUUUUCUCCGGGUGCUCCGGUUUCCUCCCACAUUCCAAAAAUAUGCAUGGCAGGCUGAUUGAACACUCUAAAUUGUCCCUAGGGGGCGACUGUGAGCGUGGAUGGUUGUUCGUUUCUGUGUGCCCUGCGAUUGGCUGGCAACCGAUUCAGGGUGUCCCCCGCCUACUGCCCGGAGACGGCUGGGAUAGACUCCAGCACCCCCCGCGACCCGAGUGAGGAUCGAGCGGCUCGGAAGAUGAAUGAAUGAAUGAAUGAAUUAUUAAGUAAUUCAGUUUUUAAUUAAGGUGUACUGGAAGAAGUGUAUUGAUAAAACACAGAGAAAACUAAAUCCAAAAACAAUCAUAGUCCAAAGUAGCAAACAAAAAUAGCAACUGAAGCUAAAACAGAGCCGUGACCAAAACAUGACGGAAACAAACCUGACAGCAGCGAAGGAACAGCAAACAAACGACCAUGACAGUAGCAAAGAGCAAUCAAUGACCCGACAGAUGGGAGUCCUUUUAAAGAAUUGAUUACCUAAUGACCAACAGGUGCGCAACUGCAGGGAGAGCCCUACAGUGCCACCUGUUGGUCCUAAACCGAAUCAUGACAGGAUCAGAUCAGAAACAAAGCAAUUCCCAGAAGGUGAUUGAGUUGUGAGCAAAGUUUGUUUGAAAUAAUCCGUUUUUUAAUGUCAGCAAUAGGGGGGAAAAAAGGUUAAAAUGGAAAAUUGGAUUUUUGUUAAAAAAAAAAAGUCAGCCAUUUUUUUCAAACAAGUUUGUUUGAAAUAAUCCGUUUUUUUAUGUCAGCAAUAGGGGAAAAAAAAGGUUAAAAUGGAAAAUUGGAUUUUUGUUAAAAAAAAAAAGUCAGCCAUUUUUU